rnacentral:rRNA from 1 species
UAACCUGCCCAUCAGAGGGGGAUAACAUUCGGAAACGGAUGCUAAAACCGCAUAGGUUCUUUAGUCGCAUGACUGAAGAAGGAAAAGAGGCUUCGGCUUCUGCUGAUGGAUGGACCCGCGGUGCAUUAGCUAGUUGGUGAGGUAACGGCUCACCAAGGCGAUGAUGCAUAGCCGACCUGAGAGGGUGAUCGGCCACAUUGGGACUGAGACACGGCCCAA